rnacentral:lncRNA from 1 species
UCCAUCCACCAGCAUAGAUCUCAAAGCACUUGUUCUUCAUUAUUCAUCCAUCUGAAUAGAUCUCAAAGCGCUCCAUCUACUGUCAUUCAUUCGUAUGCAUGGCUCUUAAAGCAAUUCAUUCUUUGUCAUCCAUUCGCCUGCAUAGAUCUCAAAGUGCAUCACCUCUCUAAUCCAUCUGCUUGCACAAAUCUCAAAGCAUUAUAUCCUUUGACAUUCAUCCUCCUGCAAAGAUCUUAAAGCACUCGAUCCUCCGUUAUUUAUCCAAACGCUUCAUCUUUUAUCAUUCAUCUACCUAUACAGAUCUCGAUGCACUCCAUCAUCUAUCAUCUAUCCAUCUACAGAAAUCUCAAAGAGCUUCAUCCUCUAUCAUCCAUCCACAUGCAUAUAUCUCAAAGUAUUCCAUCGUCUAUCAUUCAUUCAUUUACAUA